AGCUCUCUUAUCGUUCUCUCCAACCUCCCACAAAAAAAUAUUUACUUGGAAGACUAUAUUGAGCUUCGUUCCAUUAGCCACUGAUCAAUAAGUUAUCUUUAAAGUACAAUGUCUGACCAUGUUAUGGGAAAGAGUUGUGUUGCUGGGUAUGAAUCUGUUUGGUUGAGUCGUUGGAUUCGGAGAGGUAGUGCAUACGGGUUAAAGGCUCAUAGUAACCGCGAUGCCAAGUGUUCUAUGAAGACACACUUGCCAGAUGAUGAUGGUUAGCUAUGGAAGGAAUCAACAGGUUCCAUAAAACUUAAGGCAAAAACGUUGAAUAGGUCUCUUGAUCUAUUUUCUAAUCUUGAUUUCCGCUCAAAGGAUAAGGAAACGGAUGAAGAUUUCACCAAGAACCAAUCAUCUACUGAGACUGAUUCUUUGCAGACAGAUAAACUGCCUCUAUCUGGCUCCAAUUCUUCAAAGGGCUUGAGAAUUUUGCAGGGCAAAGAAAGGGUCGAGAUAAUACCUGACAUUAACAAGGAACCUCUUAUAGUUGCGGAUGAGGAAGGAGAAACAAGCAGUUCAGCUACUCAAAGAAUGGAUGUUGAACACUUUGUCAACAACACCAAAUUACCUAAAGAGUGCAAGCGUUUACGUUUGAGCCCUGACACCAACUGUAGAUCACAAGUCAAACGUCUGAAGACAAACGCCUCGGAGAAUGAAACCAAUAGCAUGAUGGUUGUAGAAGAAGGACCAUCCGUGGAGAAAAUGAACUACUUCUUUCGCAGAAUCUUUAAACACGGAUCAGGAAGAAAUCAAUAAUCUUCCACAUCACAUAACAGGAAUCUGACUAUGGGAGGAGGAAGAGAAAACGUGAAGGCUCUGCACCCAUGGAUUCAGAGAUGGUGCAAGAAAAAAUCUACAGACACUCAUGAGAGAAGAGGAGGGCAACAAGUUAACCCAAAGAGCUUUGCGCUACAGAAGCAGUUUCCAAGAAUUGCAGCAAUGGCAUUGAUGGGGAAGGCUCUGAGAAGGUUUAAACCCGAGUGGUCUUAGAAAGGCCAACUCCCUGUCAUACCAAUCUAGCUGGUGUCAGAAACACAAUACAAAACCUGAAUCUACUUCAAAUAAACUCAGGAAGUGUGUCUGGAAAAGCAAUAAGUCUCAGCUCUCGUUACUUUCUGUAACACGUAAUAGUAAACUUCCAUA